rnacentral:rRNA from 1 species
AGCGAACGCUGGCGGCGUGCCUAACACAUGCAAGUCGAACGGUUCUGUUGGGGGCUUGCUCUCGACAGAGUAGUGGCAAACGGGUGAGUAACACGUGGGUAAUCUUCCUUCGAGUGAGGAAUAACUUCGGGAAACCGGAGCUAAAUACCGCAUAACAUCUUGGAACGGCAGUUUCAAGAUCAAAGGGGGCGCAAGCUCCCCGCUUGAAGUUGAGCUCGCGUCCUAUCAGCUAGUUGGUGAGGUAAUGGCUCACCAAGGCUCCGACGGGUAGCCGGCCUGAGAGGGUGGCCGGCCACACUGGGACUGAGACACGGCCCAGACUCCUACGGGAGGCAGCAGGUGGGGAAUAUUGCGCAAUGGACGAAAGUCUGACGCAGCGACGCCGCGUGGGUGAUGAAGGCCUUCGGGUCGUAAAGCCCUGUUGAGGGAGAGAAAGCUACUGUCGGUUAAUACCCGGCAGUGGUGAUAGUAUCCCUAGAGAAAGCACCGGCUAACUACGUG